AUGUCGUGAUGUGGACACUACCUAAGCAAGUCAUUGAGGCGCUCACAUGCCUCAUGAAAGAAUUACCCAUCCCUUUGAGAAAAUUCUCGAAUUAAGGUUCUCAUUGC